UACGUAGGGUGCGAGCGUUAAUCGGAAUUACUGGGCGUAAAGCGUGCGCAGGCGGUUUUGUAAGACCGAUGUGAAAUCCCCGGGCUUAACCUGGGAACUGCAUUGGUGACUGCAAGGCUUGAGUGUGUCAGAGGGAGGUGGAAUUCCGCGUGUAGCAGUGAAAUGCGUAGAUAUGCGGAGGAACACCGAUGGCGAAGGCAGCCUCCUGGGAUAACACUGACGCUCAUGCACGAAAGCGUGGGGAGCAAAC
rnacentral:rRNA from 1 species